rnacentral:rRNA from 1 species
UAACACAUGCAAGUCGAGGGGUAUAGUAGCAAUACUAGAGACCGGCGCACGGGUGCGUAACGCGUAUGCAAUCUACCUUUUACAGAGGGAUAGCCCAGAGAAAUUUGGAUUAAUACCUCAUAGUAUAAUGACUCCGCAUGGAGAUGUUAUUAAAGUCACAACGGUAAAAGAUGAGCAUGCGUCCCAUUAGCUUGUUGGUAAGGUAACGGCUUACCAAGGCUACGAUGGGUAGGGGUCCUGAGAGGGAGAUCCCCCACACUGGUACUGAGACACGGACCAGACUCCUACGGGAGGCAGCAGUGAGGAAUAUUGGUCAAUGGGCGCAAGCCUGAACCAGCCAUGCCGCGUGCAGGAUGACGGUCCUAUGGAUUGUAAACUGCUUUUGCACAGGAAGAAACACUAUCUCGUGAGAUAGCUUGACGGUACUGUGAGAAUAAGGAUCGGCUAACUCCGUGCCAGCAGCCGCGGUAAUACGGAGGAUCCAAGCGUUAUCCGGAAUCAUUGGGUUUAAAGGGUCCGUAGGCGGGUUAAUAAGUCAGUGGUGAAAGCCCUACGCUCAACGUAGGAACGGCCAUUGAUACUGUUAGUCUUGAAUUAUUAGGAAGUAACUAGAAUAUGUAGUGUAGCGGUGAAAUGCUUAGAGAUUACAUGGAAUACCAAUUGCGAAGGCAGGUUACUACUAAUGGAUUGACGCUGAUGGACGAAAGCGUGGGUAGCGAACAGGAUUAGAUACCCUGGUAGUCCACGCCGUAAACGAUGGAUACUAGCUGUUCGGAGCAAUCUGAGUGGCUAAGCGAAAGUGAUAAGUAUCCCACCUGGGGGGUACGUUCGCAAGAAUGAAACUCAAAGGAAUUGACGGGGGCCCGCACAAGCGGUGGAGCAUGUGGUUUAAUUCGAUGAUACGCGAGGAACCUUACCAAGGCUUAAAUGUAGAUUGACCGGGUUUGGAAACAGACUUUUCGCAAGACAAUUUACAAGGUGCUGCAUGAUGUCGUCAGCUCGUGCCGUGAGGUGUCAGAUUAAGUCCUAUAACGAGCGCCACCCCUGGUUGUUUAGUUGCCAGCGAAGUCAUGGUCGGGG